GACGAACGCUGGCGGCGUGCUUAACACAUGCAAGUCGAACGAGUGGCGAACGGGUGAGUAACACGUGGGUGAUCUGCCUUGCACUUGGGGAUAAGCUUGGGAAACUGGGUCUAAUACCGGAUAGUGCAAGAUGAGCUCGCGGACUAUCAGCUUGUUGGUGGGGUAAUGGCUACCAAGGCACGAGGGGUAGCCGGCCUGAGAGGGUGUGCGGCCACAUGGGGACUGGGAUACGGCCCAGACUCCUACGGGAGGCAGCAGGGGUGAAUUUUGCAAAAUGGGCGGAAGCCUGAUGCAGCGACGCCGCGUGGGGGAUAAUGGUCUUCGGAUUUUAAAGCUCUUUAAGUUUGGAGGCGUUACCGACAGAAUAAGCAACGGCUAACUCUGUGCCAGCAGCCGCGGUAAUAC
rnacentral:rRNA from 1 species